rnacentral:lncRNA from 1 species
GUGGAAAUGCUUUGCUGCUUUCAGGCCUCAAGCCUUUAACUUGUUUAAAGCUAAUGGUGUUCCUGAGAAAAGCUUUCUAUGUAGGGAAAUACCUCCCACUGCACACCAUGCCAGCUGGGUGUCCUUAGCACCUGACUUCCUGAUGCAUCACUCUGCAGUCAGCACACACUCCUUUGUGGCUCUGCUGGUUGAUGGUGUGUUCUCUUUGCCCAGCACGCUGCCCCUGAUCAUGAGCAAGUUCCUGGAUAGCACCCUCCGGAGAGCACUGCAUGGCCUGAUGCAAUCCCUCUUGGGAACGCUGGGAUGCUCCAAUACGCCCUGCUGAACACCCCUAUGGUGAGAGAAGAUUUCAUCCAGCUGGAGCUGAAGGCCACUCUCCACAACAAGGAGGGAGAGGAGGUUGCCCUGCCCUCAGAUCUGCCACCUCUCACUUCUCUGCCACCAAAGAGGGAAGCAGCCACUCAGCUCAUCUUGGCUGCGAGCUUCCUGAGUGCUGAGCUCUCCAUCAUGCAGACAUUCUUCGGCCUGAACAUCACCAAUGGCAUGGUUCUGGGGCUUCUCCCGCUGGUGACCACAAC